rnacentral:lncRNA from 1 species
GACCAAGGGCUGUGAUUUAGGUGUAGUUUGUUCCCCAAGGGUGCUUAUGUAGGAAGGCUGGUCCCCAGGGUGGUGAUGGUAAGAGGUGAUGGAACGUUUCAAAGGUGAGGCCUGGUGGGAGGUCCUUAGGUAACGGGAGAUCCUGCCUAUAGAAGGAGGUAGGAUAGCUCUCACGUGACUUCUGAGUUCUUACAAGAGUGAGUUGUUAUAAAAGCCUUAGCCUGAUCCCUGAUUUACUCUCUGGCUUCCUGUCUUAAGGAAUGGUCUCUUCCUCCCACGCGUGCUCCAUCCUCCAUGACACCUUCACCAGAGCCGAGUUGGUGCUGGUGCCGUGCCCUUGAACUAUGAGCUAAGUAAACCGUUUUCCUUUGUGAAGUUAGCCUGUCUCAGGCAUUUGAUUAUAGUCAUGACAAAUGUACUGAUAACAAAGUUCCUCUCUUUGCCUUAACAAAUGUUCUUCUCUUUGUCCUCUGCUAUUCCCUGAUUUUCCCCUCUGAGUUCUAGGAAGGGCUCAAUCUUUCAGCCUUACCAUGUCACCAGGAAUCAAGAGGAUGGUGACAACUUUGGCCCAUACUGUCACCUGUCACCACUGUCAUCCAUCCACCACUUGGAUUUACAUGGUUUACUUUAUGGAGCUCAAAGGCCUGGGGCUUUGCACGUAUGACCUCCUUCAACGCGGAAGUUGGAAUGAUGACACAGGCAUCUGCAUCACGCUGACUACCAUUGACUCCUGAGGACACUCACAGAAGAUGGAGACGUGAUAGCCAUAAAAUCUGCGAGCUCUCUUAUGGCCAAAACAACGCCUGCACAAGUCCUCCUAGGACGAAGAGAACAGUGGAACUGUAGUCCAGUGCUAGCAGUCUACUCCACUUCCAUUAUUGCCCUAGUUUUCAAAACAAUGUCCAAGAGUUUGUGAGGUCCUAGAUUAUAGUAGUAGAUGAGAAGUCUGAAGGCCAGAGAGCUUAUGAGGCUCAGUUAAGAUUCUAAUACUGGUCGGCAGGGAAGUUGCCAAUGUCCAGGGACUGUUGGAUUAGAAAGCUGAGGAUGCUGUUUAAGAAGGCAAAUUCGGCCGGCGCCGCGGCUCACUAGGCUAAUCCUCCGCCUUGCGGCGCCGGCACACGGGGUUCUAGUCCCGGUUGGGGCGCCGGAUUCUGUCCCUGUUGCCCCUCUUCCAGGCCAGCUCUCUGCUGUGGCCAGGGGAGUGCAGUGGAGGAUGGCCCAAGUGCUUGGCCCUGCACCCCAUGGAGACCAGGAGAAGCACCUGGCUCCUGCCAUCGGAUCAGCGCGGUGCACCGGCCACAGUGCCCAUUGGAGGGUGAACCAACGGCAAAGGAAGC